ensembl:snoRNA
ACUCCAAUAGCAUAAGAAACUGCAAGAAAAACAAAUGUUCAGAAUUGGUCUAUGUGGCUAAAAGUGAGACCCAGGUCAUGCUUCCAUCACAGUAAAUAUUUACAGUGGUGACAAUGAGGCCUGUAACAUUU